rnacentral:tRNA from 1 species
GGCCCAUGAGCUCAGUUGGUUAGAGUAUCGUGCCAAUAUCGCGAAGGUCGUGGGUUCGAUCCGCCCGUGGGCCA